rnacentral:rRNA from 1 species
UCGAGCGCGCCUUCGGGUGAGCGGCGGACGGGUUAGUAACGCGUGGGAACGUGCCCUUUUCUACGGAAUAGCCUCUGGAAACGGAGAGUAAUACCGUAUACGCCCUUUGGGGGAAAGAUUUAUCGGAGAAGGAUCGGCCCGCGUUAGAUUAGGUAGUUGGUGGGGUAAUGGCCUACCAAGCCUACGAUCUAUAGCUGGUUUUAGAGGAUGAUCAGCAACACUGGGACUGANACACGGCCCAGACUCCUACGGGAGGCAGCAGUGGGGAAUCUUAGACAAUGGGGGCAACCCUGAUCUAGCCAUGCCGCGUGAGUGAUGAAGGCCUUAGGGUCGUAAAGCUCUUUCGCCUGUGAUGAUAAUGACAGUAGCAGGUAAAGAAACCCCGGCUAACUCCGUGCCAGCAGCCGCGGUAAUACGGAGGGGGUUAGCGUUGUNGGGAAUUACUGGGCGUAAAGCGCGCGUAGGCGGAUUAGAAAGUUGGGGGUGAAAUCCCGGGGCUCAACCCCGGAACUGCCUCCAAAACUGCUAGUCUAGAGUUCGAGAGAGGUGAGUGGAAUUCCGAGUGUAGAGGUGAAAUUCGUAGAUAUUC